UACGGAGGGGGCUAGCGUUGUUCGGAAUUACUGGGCGUAAAGCGCGCGUAGGCGGCUUUGUAAGUUAGAGGUGAAAGCCCGGAGCUCAACUCCGGAAUUGCCUUUAAGACUGCAUCGCUAGAAUCAUGGAGAGGUGAGUGGAAUUCCGAGUGUAGAGGUGAAAUUCGUAGAUAUUCGGAAGAACACCAGUGGCGAAGGCGACUUACUGGACAUGUAUUGACGCUGAGGUGCGAAAGCGUGGGGAGCAAACAGGG
rnacentral:rRNA from 1 species